rnacentral:rRNA from 1 species
UACAGGGGGUGCAAACGUUGCUCGGAAUCAUUGGGCGUAAAGCGCACGUAGGCGGUUCGUUAUGUCGGAUGUGAAAGCCCUUGGCUUAACCGAGGAAGUGCAUCCGAAACUGGCGAGCUAGAGUACGAAAGAGGAUCGCGGAAUUCCCGGUGUAGAGGUGAAAUUCGUAGAUAUUGGGGAGAACACCGGUGGCGAAGGCGGCUCACUGGCUCAUUACUGACGCUCAGGCGCGAUAGCGUGGGGAUCAAACAGG